rnacentral:rRNA from 1 species
GACGUAGGGCGCGAGCGUUGUCCGGAAUUAUUGGGCGUAAAGAGCUCGUAGGCGGUUUGUUGCGUCGGCUGUGAAAUCCCGAGGCUCAACCUCGGGUCUGCAGUCGAUACGAGCAAACUAGAGUGUUGCAGGGGAGACUGGAAUUCCUGGUGUAGCGGUGAAAUGCGCAGAUAUCAGGAGGGAACACCGGUGGCGAAGGCGGGUCUCUGGGCAACAACUGACGCUGGAGGAGCGAAAGCGUGGGGAGCGAACAGG